rnacentral:rRNA from 1 species
CAGCUACACAGCGAUGUGAUGCUAAUCUCCAAACCAUGUCUCAGUUCGGAUCGGAGUCUGCAACUCGACUCCGUGAAGCUGGAUUCGCUAGUAAUCGCGCAUCAGCCAUGGCGCGGUGAAUACGUUCCCGGGCCUUGUACACACCGCCCGUCAAGCCAUGGGAGCCGGGGGUACCUGAAGUCCGUAACCGCGAGGAUCGGCCUAGGGUAAAACUGGUGACUGGGGCUAAGUCGUAACAAGGUACC